rnacentral:ncRNA from 1 species
ACGCUAAGAGGUGGGAAAGGUACCCCACGCGCCUUUACGGUUAAAAAGAGAUGCGGGACACGCCGCCCCGCCUUAGCGU